rnacentral:rRNA from 1 species
UAAUGCAUGUAAGUCGAGCGAUGAGUGCUCCUUCGGGGGUACAUCAGCGGCGGACGGGUGAGUAACACGUAGUGUGACGUGCCCUGAAGACGGGGAUAACGAAUGGAUACAUUGGCUAAUACCCGAUAAGCUUAGACGGUCAAAGGUGUAAGGAAAGCCUUCUUAAGGAAGGCGCUUGAGGAGCGGCCUGCGGCCCAUCAGCUAGUUGGUAGGGUAACGUGCCUACCAAGUGCGAAGACGGGUAGGGGGUGUGAGAGCAUGAACCCCC